rnacentral:sRNA from 1 species
UUCUGUUCUGUGUCAUCUGUGUCUUCGUUAUGCUCAAGCUGAAGUGGAGAAAUAGAGACAGACAGUUGUCUUCAGGUAACUUGACCAAGAGAGCUAUAUCCAAGCUGACCACAAGGAAAUACCAGAG